GAUGAACGCUGGCGGCGUGCCUAACACAUGCAAGUCGAGCGAUUCUCUUCGGAGAAGAGCGGCGGACGGGUGAGUAACGCGUGGGUAACCUGCCCUGUACACACGGAUAACAUACCGAAAGGUAUGCUAAUACGGGAUAAUAUGCUUUAGUCGCAUGGCUGAAGUAUCAAAGCUCCGGCGGUACAGGAUGGACCCGCGUCUGAUUAGCUAGUUGGUAAGGUAACGGCUUACCAAGGCGACGAUCAGUAGCCGACCUGAGAGGGUGAUCGGCCACAUUGGAACUGAGACACGGUCCAAACUCCUACGGGAGGCAGCAGUGGGGAAUAUUGCAAAAUGGGCGAAAGCCUGAUGCAGCAACGCCGCGUGAGCGAUGAAGGCCUUCGGGUCGUAAAGCUCUGUCCUCAAGGAAGAUAAUGACGGUACUUGAGGAGGAAGCCCCGGCUAACUACGUGCCAGCCGCCGCAGUAA
rnacentral:rRNA from 1 species